rnacentral:rRNA from 1 species
AACGAACGCUGGCGGCAGGCUUAACACAUGCAAGUCGAACGCACCUUUCGGGGUGAGUGGCAGACGGGUGAGUAACGCGUGGGAAUCUACCCUUCUCUACGGGAUAGCUCCGGGAAACUGGAAUUAAUACCGUAUCCGUCCUGAUGGAGAAAGAUUUAUCGGGGAAGAAUGAGCCCGAGUUGGAUUAGCUAGUUGGUGGGGUAAAGGCCUACUAAGGCGACGAUCCAUAGCUGGUCUAAGAGAAUGGUCAGCCACAUUGAGACUAAGACACGGCCCGAACUCCUACGGGAGGCAGGAGAGGGGGAUAUAGCAACAUCGGCGGAAUCAUGAACGAGCCAGGCCGGGAGAGUGAUGAAGGCCCGAGAGUUGUAAAGCGCUUUCAGUGGUGACGAUAAUGACGGUACCCACAGAAGAAGCCCCGGCUAACUUCGUG